UACGAAGGGGGCAAGCGUUGUUCGGAAUUACUGGGCGUAAAGCGCGCGCAGGCGGCUAUCCAAGUCAGUGGUGAAAGCCCGGAGCUCAACUCCGGAACUGCCAUUGAAACUGUUUAGCUUGAGGAUGAGAGAGGUGAGUGGAAUUCCCAGUGUAGAGGUGAAAUUCGUAGAUAUUGGGAAGAACACCGGUGGCGAAGGCGGCUCACUGGCUCAUUACUGACGCUCAGGCGCGAUAGCGUGGGGAUCAAACAGG
rnacentral:rRNA from 1 species